rnacentral:lncRNA from 1 species
GAAAAAAACAAUUGGAUAGUCAUACCAUGAAUACAAGGGAACACUGAAUUUGGAGUCAGAAGACUUGGGGAAACCAUGAUCUUUUUAUGGAGAAACCAUAAUCUCUUGGAAAGAAAAAAAAUACCCUGUACAAAAUCAUUGAAGAUUACUUUGGGAGAGAAGGAGGGAAUACCAGAUGACAACACUGGGAUUCGAAAUUUCCAUGGAGAAGCCCCCAGUUUGGAGGUCUGA